UCUCAAGCAAAAUAUAUUGCUAAAUUGCUCCAAGAAACACAAAUGCAAGAUUCCAAGGGCUGUCUCACGCCUAUGGCCACUUCGCCCACUCUUAGCAAAUCCAUGGGAACACUGCUUGCAUUUGGGGAUCAAUAUAGACAAGUCACUGGUGCAUUGCAAUACAUCACGUUGACAAGACCCAACAUAGCCUUCACAGUUAACAAAUUAGCUCAAUUUAUGCACUGUGUAACUGAG
rnacentral:misc_RNA from 1 species